rnacentral:lncRNA from 1 species
AGUUGAGAAAUUCAGCUGUCCUGGGGUUGCUGGGAACCUCUACAUGUGGUCUGGUCGGAGAUCUGGUGUCUCAGAAGUGGGAGGGUCAUUGACUAUGUAGGGUUGGUGGACAUUAUGUAAGCAGUAGAAACUCUUGCCAAGGACUUUUUGUGCCUGUUUGCUACCGGAUGAUGUGGUUUCGUUUUUGAAUUGAGUUAUAUCUGGAGACGAGAUAUUUCUCCUGGUGCACAGCAAAGACAGCUGGCAGGGGUGGUGGCUGAGGGCGAGGUGCAAGCAGCACAGGGUCUUCAACCAACAUGGCAUCUGAUGAGUUGGUUUUCUUUGUCAAUGGCAAAAAGGUGGUGGAGAAGAAUGCAGAACCAGAGAUGACUCUGUUGUCAUAUCUGAGAAGAAAAUGUAUCCCUGAAGCUUGAGGAAGCAAAGACUUAGCCUUUAGAGAGUAACCAGUCACACUCCUGGGGGGAAGGUAGUAUGGGGUAUGGAGCGAGACCUGAACCCUAGUCCCUGCUCUACUAUUGACUAGCUAUGUGACCUUGAGCAAACCAUAAUCUCUUUGUUUCUGUCUUUUGGAAAAAGGUAUGUCAAGGCGGUGAGAAGGCCAGGUUUGAGGAGAGUUAGUUUGGACUAGAUGACCUCUAAAGUUUUUAGUUCACAUGUCCUAUGAUUCAUGGGUGUAAAAAUUUAAAUUUGGGACCUUCAACCUAAUAGAUCAGAAAGUCUAUCCCCCUUUAGCCGUUGUUCACUCUCUCCAGAAAAACCUUUUUUGUGAACAUUGGUCUGGCAAUAAGCACAUCUCCCAUCCUAAUUCAGAAUCAUAGAAACAUCACUGACUGAAAUGGGGGCAGAGGGGCAACAUUGAGCCUGUCAGAUGUCUAGAUGAGCAGAUACUGGGAGGUCAUAGAAUUAUUUUGCAGGUUUGGGCUACUCCACGGGACAACCCAAGUGGGGAUGUGGGAUAAUCUAUGAUUUGGACUCUUAGAAAUGAGGACAGUGAAGGAAGGAACAGAAGCAGUUUCAGUUCCCAGUCAUGUAGUCAUCUACCAAUCUGGGGAUUUGUUCUGAUUUUAUAGGCCUCCUCUAAUGAUUCCUGCCCCCCACCCCAUAGCAUGCCCAGGAGAAUUCAAGGAUCAAAUAAAAUAAUAAUUAUAAAAACCCUGAGCA